AGGAGUGAACUGAAGCCCCAGAGGUUAAAUAACUGCCCAAAUUCCCAGCUAGCAAAUGAGGGAGCCGCGGUUCUACCUCGUGUGUCUGCCUCCCAAGCCCGUGUGACACAGCUGUGUCAGAACUCUCCAAAAGAGAAAGGGCAUAAAUCACAGAAGGUCUAUCCUUCUUCUGUGGGAGCGGAGGGAGAGGGGGAGUGCCCUACACAGCCGCAGCAGCCAGGCUUGAGGAUGGGGGCUGGGACAGCAGAGGACAGAUGGGAGCUCCUGUUAGGAGCCACGUUUCCUCUGCUCGGCUCUGAACCGUUGCUCCUAAGUCUCUGCAACAGCGAUACCAGGGCAUGUGUCUUUCCAAGGCCUUUGAUGUACAGCAACCUCGUGUGCAUCUUGCCCGGUCAGCAUGAUGUCAUCAUUGUAAUGGAUCCGUAUGUCCUUCUGCAGGAUGUCCAGAAGGUCUAGGUCUCCUGGGAGUAUAUUACGGCAGAGGGUGAGUGAGUUUGUAAAGCACCAGAAUAAAAAUGAAUUAUAAUCAAUAUUGUUUUAUCAUCACUAAAUCAAUGACCAUGUCCCAUGUACCUGAGGCUUAUUAAUAUGUCUGGGAGUAAACUCACAUCAGGCACUGCAGCUUAGAUCAGGAUUACUGCUUGGUUAACUCUGCAGUAGGCAAUGGUUAUUCUACAGGAUCCAUCUGAUUUCUCAACUCUGUCGGGGGAUGCUGUGAGGUCUCCAGAUAUCAAUGCCUGCAGGUCUCCAGCUAUCAGUGCCAACUCAGACUUUGUGUCUGAUCAUCCUCAAAAUAUCUGAUGAGUUUCCUUUCCCCCAUGCAUGUAGUUUAUUUAGGAAAGGACUAGAGAAAUCAUUAUAGUUUAUGCUUGCCACAGUAUUACAGUGUCAUUAUACCUAUGGAUCCUGCCCCCUCUUAGGUAAAUGGGGCCCAGGUCUGAAAAUCUUCUCACACCUGGGAAACAGGUGACUGAUGAAGACUGCUUAUCAGAAGGACCACCCUCUGCCUCCUGCUCCUCUGUUCUUGCCUUUUUCUGAUUGUGGCAGCAUCCUCACUGAUUGACCAUCUCACCUUGAUCACACAUGCUCAAAAUAUACUUCCAGGGGUACUCUUCUGGUUCUCUAUGUUUUAUUUUUGAGACAGGGUCUGGCUCUGUCACUCAGGCUGGAGUGCAGUGGUGUGAUCUUGGAUAGUUGCAAACUUUGCGUCCUAGAUUCAAGUGAUUUUCAUGCCUCAGCCUCCCAAGUAGCUGAGACCACAGGUGCGUGUGACCAUGCCCAGCUAAUUUUUAUAUUUUUAGUACAGACAGGGUUUUGCCAUGUUUGUCAGGCUGGUCUUGAACUCCUGACAUCAAGUGAUCCACCUACCUCAGCCUCCCAGAAUGCUGGGAUUACAGGCAUGAGCCACUGCACCUGGCUGGUACUCUUCUGGUUUUUGAUGGCUUAUGCUAGCUAAUUCUCACAAUUCUAUUGGAAUAUAAUCUCCCUUUUCCUCAUCAAACCCAACAUAUUCCUGACUGGAGUAUGCUGAAAUUUCAUCUUAGUUAUUGGCCCGGCAGCCAGAAUAAGAGCUAGGACAACUCCUGAGGGGAGCACCUGUUACUUUGCUGAGGAGGAGACGUUGCUGUAUCUUUCUGAAUUGGAAAAAUCCUAGUUCUUAUUUUGGGGGAGCCACCUCUGAAAGUUCUGAGGUUUCGGAGGACUCUAAAGCAACAAAGCCCUUGGGAAUAUCCACCCAGAUGUCCCCAUCACAGUUUUUAGGGUCUCAUGUUUUCCCAACUAGGACCCUGAUUUCAAAGGAGAUUUGAGUUGGUUUAAGCAUCACUGGGGCUUUGCAACUUUAACUAUCAGAUGCUGAGUUGGCAACUCAGCUGUGUCUGCUCUUCCACUGCAGGAGAAAAGAGGCUUCCUAUAAACUACCAGUAAGGCCCUCUGGCUCCCAUCCAUAGCUUUUAUCUAUUUGUCAGCUGCUCUUGGUUUCUCACUAUUCCCCUGCAGGACACUUGUACAACUUAGUAGCAGCCGGCAAACUCGACUGUACAUGUAGCUCAUGUUUGUUACCUCUUAUAUCUUUCAGAUGUCUGAAUCAUUGCACAAGCAAAGCCAAUCUCCCCCAACAGAAUGUUUUCUCACAUGAAAUAUUAAACAGUUGGGCUGCCACUAGGUGCCUACCCCACAUACCACUCAAGAUGGGCUCCUCCUUGUCAGGGAGGGCCUGAGUAACCCAGUUGCAAAGACUUAUCUUUACUGCCUGUUUCCUCACAUCACUCCUGGUGUCUCCUGUGUCUUCUGAGCAGGGCACACCAAGACGGGAUGGGAGGUAUAAGCUAUUUGUUGAGGAAACUAAAAGAAUAAGAGAGGAGCAGGAGUCAUCAAAGAGUCUUGAGACAAAAAUGCCAGUCUGACACCUAUGAAAGAAGAGAAGGAAAGAAGGAUUGGAUAGGAAGAAAGAAAGGGUUACAAUGGGCCACAGUGCAGUUUUAGGUAAGUCUAGGCCAGUCCGAGGGGAAGACCCCAAGCCAUAGUUGCUGAGUAGAGAAUUCCACAUCAGGCAGGAAUGGAUGGGUCCAGUAGCCCCACCAUUCUCUGUUAUUGGCUGGAAGCAACUCCAAAGAACACCACAGUGGAUCCAAAGGUACAGCAGCCGAGGGCUGUUGAUCAGCCACGUUCCUCACAGUAGAUCCCCUUAAAAGGAGAUCUGAGUGAUCCACUUCCAUAGCCACUAUGGUGAACAAACAACCCCCGUGUAUAGGAUUCAUGGAGAUAGCUAUCAAGAGGAGAAUAAAGCAGAGCCUGCAUCUGGGGCUCUCCAGAAAGGAAGGAGAAGUUGUCCAGGCAGCAAAAGCUGGAUCCCAGCAACCAACUUUUGACUUGGCUUUCCCCAUUCAGCCAUAACUUUUUAUUCCUUUGCUAAGUUGGAAAGAAGUUAAAGAAGGCCCUUUGUGUCCAAAGACAUUAAAAAACAACAUUGCUGGUAACCAGGGCCUAGAACCAACACUGGCAGGUAUGGUGACUACCAUGACAUCCAAAGCACCACGGCAUGCUGAGAAUGGCAGCCUCAGGGACAUCCCAGAUGUGUCAGCCCAGGUCACUCACUUGGA
rnacentral:lncRNA from 1 species